rnacentral:rRNA from 1 species
GAUGAACGCUAGCGGCAGGCCUAACACAUGCAAGUCGAGGGAGGAGCUUUCGGGCUUCGACCGGCGUACGGGUGCGUAACGCGUAUACAAUCUGCCUUUCACAUAGGGAUAGCCCGAAGAAAUUUGGAUUAAUACCUAAUGGUAUAUAGGAGUGGCAUCACAUUUAUAUUAAAGCUGAGGCGGUGAAAGAUGAGUAUGCGUUCUAUUAGCUAGUUGGAGAGGUAACGGCUCCCCAAGGCGACGAUAGAUAGGGGUUCUGAGAGGGAUAUCCCCCACACUGGUACUGAGAUACGGACCAGACUCCUACGGGAGGCAGCAGUGAGGAAUAUUGGACAAUGGUCGGAAGACUGAUCCAGCCAUGCCGCGUGCAGGAAGACGGCCUUAUGGGUUGUAAACUGCUUUUGCAGGGGAAGAAUAAGGACUACGUGUAGUUUGAUGACGGUACUCUGCGAAUAAGCAUCGGCUAACUCCGUGCCAGCAGCCGCGGUAAUACGGAGGAUGCGAGCGUUAUCCGGAAUCAUUGGGUUUAAAGGGUCCGUAGGCGGGCUAAUAAGUCAGAGGUGAAAGCGCUCAGCUCAACUGAGCAACUGCCUUUGAAACUGUUAGUCUUGAAUGGUUGUGAAGUAGUUGGAAUGUGUAGUGUAGCGGUGAAAUGCUUAGAUAUUACACAGAACACCGAUAGCGAAGGCAUAUUACUAACAAUUAAUUGACGCUGAUGGACGAAAGCGUGGGGAGCGAACAGG